AAAGAUUUAGUUAAUGAGAUAACGUUAGACUGUCAGACUAGAGUUGGUUAAAACCAAUCUUUA
rnacentral:tRNA from 1 species